rnacentral:rRNA from 1 species
GCCAGCCCGCUCAGAAACUCAAAGGAAGUUGACGGGGGCCCGCACAAGCGGUGGAGCAUGUGGUUUAAUUCGAUGAUACGCGAGGAACCUUACCUGGGCUCAAAUGUAUGUUGACGUAUUCUGAAAGGGAUACUUCUUCGGACAAUAUACAAGGUGCUGCAUGGUUGUCGUCAGCUCGUGCCGUGAGGUGUCGGGUUAAGUCCCAUAACGAGCGCAACCCCUAUCAUUAGUUGCCAGCAGUUCGGCUGGGCACUCUAAAGGGACUGCCGGUGUUAAACCGGAGGAAGGUGGGGAUGACGUCAAGUCCUCAUGGCCUUUAUGACCAGGGCUACACACGUACUACAAUGGCCGAUACAAAGGGCAGCGACACUGCGAGGUGAAGCCAAUCCCGUAAAAUCGGUCUCAGUCCGGAUUGGAGUCUGCAACUCGACUCCAUGAAGUUGGAAUCGCUAGUAAUCGUGGAUCAGCAUGCCACGGUGAAUACGUUCCCGGGCCUU